rnacentral:rRNA from 1 species
UGAGGAACAUGACCUUCGGCGGGGGAGUAGCCGGCCCAACGGCCGGGUAAUACCGCGUACGACCACUUUGGGACAUCCCUAGGUGGUGAAAGCAGCAAUGCGCCGAUGGAGUGCCUCGCGGCCUAUCAGCUAGUUGGUGAGGUAACGGCUCACCAAGGCGACGACGGGUAGCUGGUCUGAGAGGAUGGCCAGCCACAUUGGGACUGAGACACGGCCCAGACUCCUACGGGAGCAG